rfam:Rattus norvegicus chromosome 12, whole genome shotgun sequence.
GGGGAUUUGGCUCAGUGGUAGAGUGCUUGCCUAGGAAGCGCAAGGUCCUGGGUUCGGUCCCCAGCCCCG